AGCCUGAUGCAGCGAUGCCGCGUGAGUGAUGAAGGCCUUCGGGUUGUAAACCUCUUUUCCCGGGGAAGAAAAUGACGGUACCCGUAGAAAAAGCCCCGGCUAACUCCGUGCCCGCACCCGCGGUAAUACGGAGGGGGCUAGCGUUGUUCGGAAUUUCUGGGCGUAAAGGGCGUGUAGGCGGGCUUGUUAAUCUGGUGUGAAAUCCCGGGGCUCAACCCGGGAACUGCGCUCGAAACUGUGUUGCUUGAGAGCGGGAGAGGAGAGGGGAAUUCCCCGUGGGGAGGUGAAAUUCGCAUAUUUUGGGAAGAACACCCGUGGGGAAAGCGGCUUUCUGGCUCGUUUCUGACACUGAAGCGCGAAAGCGUGGGGAGCAAACAGGAAUAUAUACCCGGGUAUUCCACCCCGUAAACAAUGUGAGCCAUA
rnacentral:rRNA from 1 species